rnacentral:rRNA from 1 species
UACGUAGGUGACAAGCGUUGUCCGGAUUUACUGGGCGUAAAGAGCGCGCAGGCGGUCGAUCAAGUCGAGUGUGAAAGCCCCCGGCUCAACUGGGGAGGGUCAUUCGAUACUGAUCGACUCGAAGGCAGGAGAGGGUAGUGGAAUUCCCGGUGUAGUGGUGAAAUACGUAGAUAUUAGGUGGAAUACCGGUGGCGAAGGCGGCCAAUUGGCCCAACACUGACGCUGAGAUACGAAAGCGUGGGGAUCAAACAGG